rnacentral:rRNA from 1 species
GUUGGGUAGGGGAGCGUUCUGUAAGCCUGUGAAGGUGGCCUGUGAGGGUUGCUGGAGGUAUCAGAAGUGCGAAUGCUGACAUAAGUAACGAUAAAGCGGGUGAAAAGCCCGCUCGCCGGAAGACCAAGGGUUCCUGUCCAACGUUAAUCGGGGCAGGGUGAGUCGACCCCUAAGGCGAGGCCGAAAGGCGUAGUCGAUGGGAAACGGGUUAAUAUUCCCGUACUUGGUGUUACUGCGAAGGGGGGACGGAGAAGGCUAUGUUGGCCGGGCGACGGUUGUCCCGGUUUAAGCGUGUAGGUGUGUGUUCCAGGUAAAUCCGGUUCACUUUAACACUGAGGCGUGAUGACGAGGCACUACGGUGCUGAAGCAACAAAUGCCCUGCUUCCAGGAAAAGCCUCUAAGCAUCAGGUAACAUCAAAUCGUACCCCAAACCGACACAGGUGGUCAGGUAGAGAANAAGCAACAAAUGCCCUGCUUCCAGGAAAAGCCUCUAAGCAUCAGGUAACAUCAAAUCGUACCCCAAACCGACACAGGUGGUCAGGUAGAGAAUACCAAGGCGCUUGAGAGAACUCGGGUGAAGGAACUAGGCAAAAUGGUGCCGUAACUUCGGGAGAAGGCACGCUGAUAUGUAGGUGAAGCGGUUUACCCGUGGAGCUGAAAUCAGUCGAAGAUACCAGCUGGCUGCAACUGUUUAUUAAAAACACAGCACUGUGCAAACACGAAAGUGGACGUAUACGGUGUGACGCCUGCCCGGUGCCGGAAGGUUAAUUGAUGGGGUCAGCGCAAGCGAAGCUCCUGAUCGAAGCCCCGGUAAACGGCGGCCGUAACUAUAACGGUCCUAAGGUAGCGAAAUUCCUUGUCGGGUAAGUUCCGACCUGCACGAAUGGCGUAAUGAUGGCCAGGCUGUCUCCACCCGAGACUCAGUGAAAUUGAACUCGCUGUGAAGAUGCAGUGUACCCGCGGCAAGACGGAAAGACCCCGUGAACCUUUACUAUAGCUUGACACUGAACAUUGAGCCUUGAUGUGUAGGAUAGGUGGGAGGCUUUGAAGCGUGGACGCCAGUCUGCGUGGAGCCGACCUUGAAAUACCACCCUUUAAUGUUUGAUGUUCUAACGUGGACCCGUAAUCCGGGUUGCGGACAGUGUCUGGUGGGUAGUUUGACUGGGGCGGUCUCCUCCUAAAGAGUAACGGAGGAGCACGAAGGUUGGCUAAUCCUGGUCGGACAUCAGGAGGUUAGUGCAAUGGCAUAAGCCAGCUUGACUGCGAGCGUGACGGCGCGAGCAGGUGCGAAAGCAGGUCAUAGUGAUCCGGUGGUUCUGAAUGGAAGGGCCAUCGCUCAACGGAUAAAAGGUACUCCGGGGAUAACAGGCUGAUACCGCCCAAGAGUUCAUAUCGACGGCGGUGUUUGGCACCUCGAUGUCGGCUCAUCACAUCCUGGGGCUGAAGUAGGUCCCAAGGGUAUGGCUGUUCGCCAUUUAAAGUGGUACGCGAGCUGGGUUUAGAACGUCGUGAGACAGUUCGGUCCCUAUCUGCCGUGGGCGCUGGAGAACUGAGGGGGGCUGCUCCUAGUACGAGAGGACCGGAGUGGACGCAUCACUGGUGUUCGGGUUGUCAUGCCAAUGGCACUGCCCGGUAGCUAAAUGCGGAAGAGAUAAGUGCUGAAAGCAUCUAAGCACGAAACUUGCCCCGAGAUGAGUUCUCCCUGAGACUUAGAGUCUCCUGAAGGAACGUUGAAGACGACGACGUUGAUAGGCCGGGUGUGUAAGCGCAGCGAUGCGUUGAGCUAACCGGUACUAAUGAACCGUGAGGCUUAACCUUACAACGCCGAAG